rnacentral:lncRNA from 1 species
UUGUUGAUUUAGCUGUUAACACGAAUUUUUCAAGGUUGGAAGCAGGGAUACGGGUAGCUAGAAGGGACCUCCCACACAAGGAAUAGAGAAUAGAGAGGAGGACCUUUCCUUUAUUAGAGUAGAGCCGGGAACGGUAAAAAUAGAGAAAUUCCUAGAUUCUUUACUAGAGUCCGACUCGCUUGUGUUAAGCAUAUAGCUAAGGUUCACCCUUGUAAAUAUUCUUUAGCUAAUGAAAAAGAAAUAUUUCAAAAGUUUUCAUUUUUUUCUCUAUUUCCAACAAAAUAAAUUACUUAUUAUAGUAUAGUGAGACUUCCUUUCUUUUCAAAUCUUCCAGUAGUUAGCUUGGAUCGAGAAAGCUCCGCCUAAUAGUGCUUAGCCGUGUGUGGACCGAAAGGGUCUCGUAAAGCCGGUAACCGUUAGCCUAAGAUCAAGUCUAAACUACGAUAAGGGAUGAGAAGUUUUCUGAAGUUAUAAC